CAAGUGUUGAUGGUGAUUUCUCAAAAGUAGAAGGCUAUCUUGAGGGAAGUUUAUAAGAAGAAGAAGUACACGUCAAGCUCUUGAUCUCCACCCUAAGAAGUAAGAAGACCAGAGCCAUUCGCAGAGGCUCACCAAGCACCAGGUUUCUAGUUCUAGCAUACUGUUAAAGCAUAGGAUAUUUCACUUCAGCAACUUUAUUGUUCAUUGAAUUUUGAAUUUGUGCAUGGUCUAUACCAUGAUUUGGGUGUGCAGGACCUCACCGUGCAGACUGAUCAUACUUGACACUUCUUGUUUUCUUGUCUUCAAGUUUUACUUUGCUAAUGGUUUAUUGCUGAGGAUACAACAUAUCAAAGUUUAUUGUUUAUUUACUGGGGAAGGGAUGCAAGUAUGAUUUUAUUAGGGAAUAGUUUAUAGUUGAUAGUUGAUUUUUAGCAGUAUUUUAUUCCCUGCCAAAGCUAAACAGAAAUAUAUGGAUGCAAAUUGCAAAAUUUUUAGUAAUGGUUAACAAUGGA